UGGGGGAUAUUGCACAAUGGGGGAAACCCUGAUGCAGCAACGCCGCGUGAAGGAAGAAGGUCUUCGGAUUGUAAACUUCUGUUCUUGGUGACGAACAAAUGACGGUAGCCAAGGAGAAAGCCACGGCUAACUACGUGCCAGCAGCCGCGGUAAUACGUAGGUGGCGAGCGUUGUCCGGAAUUACUGGGUGUAAAGGGUGCGCAGGCGGGACUGCAAGUUGGAUGUGAAAUACCGAGGCUUAACCUCGGAGCUGCAUCCAAAACUGUAGUUCUUGAGUGGAGUAGAGGUAAGCGGAAUUCCGAGUGUAGCGGUGAAAUGCGUAGAUAUUCGGAGGAACACCAGUGGCGAAGGCGGCUUACUGGGCUCUAACUGACGCUGAGGCACGAAAGUGUGGGGAGCAAACAGG
rnacentral:rRNA from 2 species